rnacentral:lncRNA from 1 species
CCAGGGCUCUGGCCAUAACCCUUUCCUGCUAUUCCUGAGAUCAGAGAUUAGGACAUGGAGGGGUGUCACAGUAUCACAUCUGGGAUCCACAAAGCCUCUGUGCUUCUGUCCUGGGAAGCUCUGACCCAGACCACAAGGUAUGGCCAGUGAAGUUCAGGUGGGGUGCCGUCCUCUCCUGGCACACAGUAUGUGCUUCUAACAUGGCUGACGUUCUGGCCCUUUAUGCAGGGGCUUUGGCUGUUUUUCCCGCCCCAUCCACCCUGAUGGGGACUUGGUGAGUCCUAGGGAGUGGGCAGCACAGUUGAGCAUCUCUCCCCUGCAGUCCUGCUCUGCAUUGCAGAUGGGAAUCAGGAAGGAGUUCCGGAAGGACAUUUCCAGGAUUGCAAGUGUUGCCUUUCAUUGGCUGUAUUCUCUGACCUCCUCCUGGAGUUCACAAGGUACAGGGGAGGAAGGGCUGCUGACCACCGUCCGCCAGAGACAGCACUCUGGGUAGCAGAGCCCUGGGCACUGGUUCUCUGCCAUCUGCAACCCUCAUUCUGGAUGUGAGCUGAGCAGCAGCUGCCUUCUGGAAGCUUCAAUUGUAGCCCACGCCUCACAGAGGGAAGCAGUGCAAGAGUGGGGAUGGCUCAGCGCUGGACAGUCCCCUUCAGGACUGAGGCAGCAAAGCAGUUCCAGGGACUCCCUGGGUCCACUGCCUGGGAAAUCAAUUGGGUCACCCUUGGUUUUGAAGAGGCGUGAGCCUGUCAUGAGUAUCCCAGACGCAAGCACCCUACCCUUGUCUUAUUUAUUUGUUUUACUUUCCCCAUGAAAAUGUAAGCUUCCUGAGAGCAAGAACUUCUUUAAAAACAAACAAACAAACAAAAAACACUCUGUCUCCCUAGCACUUAGAAAAGUGCUGGGCACAAAGCAGAUUUCAAUAAAAUCAUUCACCAAAUGAAGGCAUGAAUAGG